rnacentral:rRNA from 1 species
CGAGGGGUAACAGGAUUUAGUUUACUAGAUUGCUGACGACCGGCGCACGGGUGAGUAACGCGUAUACAAUUUACCUUUUACAGGGGGAUAGCCUUUAGAAGUGAAGAUUAAUACCCCAUGGUAUUAUAGAGUGGCAUCACUUUAUGAUUAAAGCUUCGGCGGUAAGAGAUGAGUAUGCGUCCUAUUAGCUAGAUGGUAAGGUAACGGCUUACCAUGGCGACGAUAGGUAGGGGUCCUGAGAGGGAGAUCCCCCACACUGGUACUGAGACACGGACCAGACUCCUACGGGAGGCAGCAGUGAGGAAUAUUGGUCAAUGGAGGCAACUCUGAACCAGCCAUGCCGCGUGCAGGAAGACGGUCCUAUGGAUUGUAAACUGCUUUUAUAGAGGAAGAAACCUAUCUA